UGGCCAGCGUCCGGCAGGGGCGCGGCGCCGGUUACCGGCUGGCGGGGGAGUACGGCCGGCGGUUCGAGCGCGUCCGGGCCGGC
rnacentral:tRNA from 1 species